ACUCGCAAUCGAAGAAUAAAAAUCUUAAGCAUGAAAAUGUGUAAACCAUUUUCACAAGGAACGUAACAAAUCAAGACAUAUUUUGGCCAUGAAUUUUUGCUUGGUCGUGAACAGUCGUCAACGGUGCAAGUGAGUCAAGGCAUCAUUGACUAAAAGAAAAUAUAGUAUCAAAGUAGUAUGCACACCGAUAGCAAGAGGAGUCAAGAAUAAUUAAAAAAUGACUUGGCCAAUGAAAUAAAUGGAUAUAAUCAUCAGAUGGUACGAGUUUUGUGCGCUUAACCGCUGUCUCCGUAAACAAAAAUGCGUUUCAAGUAAGAGCUUCCGAUAAAAAUAAACUGCAACUCGGAAUU